UCCCUAGCAAGUAGGAAUAACUGUCCC
rnacentral:piRNA from 2 species